GGUACCGACCCUGAGGACUCCUUAAGGAAUGCUUUUGCCAUGUUUGACAAAGACGGAAAGGGCAAAAUUCCAGAAGAAUACAUCAAGGACUUAUUAGAAAACAUGGGAGACAACUUCACAAAAGAUGAGAUGAGACAGACAUUCAAAGAAGCCCCCAUUGAAGGAGGAAAGUUAGAUUACGAAAAGUUUGUAGGAAUCAUCAAGGGUAGCAGCUCAGAGGAGGCAUAAUAACAUUCGAACUUUUAGUCGACUCAACUCAUCCAUCACCCCUCAAAAAGAAUUAACGAACUUUAAUCUCCGUGAAUGUGACGUAUACGACUUUUAAGAUCACGUGUCAGCGUGUCAAGAAAGGACAAUAAAUUAUUUAUACCAAUG
rnacentral:misc_RNA from 1 species